UCAACUGGACCUAUAAAUACUAAAUUUGGGGAGAGAAAAUUAUUGGGUUGGUGAAGAUAUUGAAGUCUAGAGGGAGAGGCUCUCGGCUGGGGGAUUAAAUACCUCUUUAACGUGAGUUCCUUUGGGUUGUUGUGAGUAGAUUUCAAGUACUAAUUGCCAUCAUUAACACCAAAUCAUCAUGAAAAUUUAGGCUCUUCAAGAAAUCCUUCAAGAACACAAGGAGAAGAAAAGAGCUAGGGUUUCUUUACAAAGGGGCCGGGCCUGAGCAGUUUGAGCCUCAUGGAUAGGACAUCUCUACAUCUUAUGCUAUAUCUUUUGGAUAUACUCCAAAUUUGUACUCAUAGAGCAUUGUUAUAUUUAUUUUUUGAGCCACAAGGCCUGUCUCGGUCGACUAUUUUAUUCCGUGUCAUAGAGAUUCCAUUGACAUUAAUAGCAUUUAUUUUUGGGUUGUAAUUAUAUGGUUACUCAUAUGGCAUGCAUGAAUGAAACUCUUUAUCUU